rnacentral:rRNA from 1 species
GCAGGCCUAACACAUGCAAGUCGAGCGGAUGACGGGAGCUUGCUCCCUGAUUCAGCGGCGGACGGGUGAGUAAUGCCUAGGAAUCUGCCUGGUAGUGGGGGACAACGUCUCGAAAGGGACGCUAAUACCGCAUACGUCCUACGGGAGAAAGCAGGGGACCUUCGGGCCUUGCGCUAUCAGAUGAGCCUAGGUCGGAUUAGCUAGUUGGUGAGGUAAUGGCUCACCAAGGCGACGAUCCGUAACUGGUCUGAGAGGAUGAUCAGUCACACUGGAACUGAGACACGGUCCAGACUCCUACGGGAGGCAGCAGUGGGGAAUAUUGGACAAUGGGCGAAAGCCUGAUCCAGCCAUGCCGCGUGUGUGAAGAAGGUCUUCGGAUUGUAAAGCACUUUAAGUUGGGAGGAAGGGCAUUAACCUAAUACGUUAGUGUUUUGACGUUACCGACAGAAUAAGCACCGGCUAACUCUGUGCCAGCAGCCGCGGUAAUACAGAGGGUGCAAGCGUUAAUCGGAAUUACUGGGCGUAAAGCGCGCGUAGGUGGUUUGUUAAGUUGGAUGUGAAAGCCCCGGGCUCAACCUGGGAACUGCAUUCAAAACUGACAAGCUAGAGUAUGGUAGAGGGUGGUGGAAUUUCCUGUGUAGCGGUGAAAUGCGUAGAUAUAGGAAGGAACACCAGUGGCGAAGGCGACCACCUGGACUG